rnacentral:siRNA from 1 species
UUAACGUCGAUGAUGCCCUUA